AGCGACCUCAGGUCAGGCGGGG
rnacentral:rRNA from 1 species